AGAGUUUGAUUAUGGCUCAGGAUGAACGCUAGCUACAGGCUUAACACAUGCAAGUCGAGGGGCAGCAUUGGAGUAGCAAUACUCAGAUGGCGACCGGCGCACGGGUGAGUAACACGUAUCCGAACCUGCCGCUUACUCGGGGAUAGCCUUUCGAAAGAAAGAUUAAUACCCGAUGGUAUAAAGAGUUCGCAUGUUCUCUUUAUUAAAGAAUUUCGGUAAGCGAUGGGGAUGCGUUCCAUUAGAUAGUUGGCGGGGUAACGGCCCACCAAGUCUACGAUGGAUAGGGGUUCUGAGAGGAAGGUCCCCCACAUUGGAACUGAGACACGGUCCAAACUCCUACGGGAGGCAGCAGUGAGGAAUAUUGGUCAAUGGACGAGAGUCUGAACCAGCCAAAAGUAGCGUGAAGGAUGACUGCCCUAUGGGUUGUUAAACUUCUUUUAAUAAGGGAAUAAAGUGAGGGACGUGUCCCUUUUUGUAUGUACCUUAUGAAUAAGGAUCGGCUAACUCCGUGCCAGCCGCCGC
rnacentral:rRNA from 1 species